rnacentral:lncRNA from 1 species
AUCUUGAGGGGAUUCAUGGAUCCUGCUCCAAGCAAUUAGAGUCUCCAGGAAUGUAGUUCCUAGUCUAACUAUUGUGUAGCACCAGUUCAAGUGGCAUAGCAUUCCUAGGAAGUAGAAACAAGUACAAUUGGAUUUAGAAGCAGAGAUAGUCAUCGGAGCUUUCCUUGUAAAGAAAAGAAUAUGGUCCUUGUGUAAAUUUCUGUGUAAUAUGUUAAUGGGAGAUAGGAGGAAGUAGUGUGCCUGGGCCAAAUAAAUAGGAUUCUGCUAGCGAGCAGGAUUGGGAAUAGAUUAUUUUGGUCCAUUUGGGCAAUAGAAAAGGAUUCAUAUAGCAGGGUCCAGCUAAGAUUUUUUGUUAGCUUUUAUAAAAAUAAUGUUAUAGAGUUAGAAUUUACAUACUACCAAACAUUUGAAGUGUACAGGUUGAUGGUUUUUUUAGUGUGUUUCCAGGGAUGCACAACCGUUAUCAGUUUUAGAACAUUCUGUCAUUUGAUGACAUUUAGAAUCUAUUAGCUGUUAAUUUUAUCAUCUUUUCAGUUUCUCUUAGUUCUAUACAAGUACUAAUCUAUUCUUUCUCUAUAUAAAUCUGCCUACUCUGACAUAUCAUUAAUAUUCAUCACAUAGAAAGUGUGCUAUUCUAUGACAAACAUACUUUACUUAUAUCAGAACGUCACUUUUUAUGGCUCAAUGAUGCUCCAUUGCGUGUACACAACCACACUUUAUCUGUUAGUAGCAAUACACAGGAGAUCACUACAUUUGCCUCUCGUGAGUAAUGCUUCUGUGAACAUUGAGUAAAUAUCCAGUAUCCAUCUUUCCUUCCUUCUUUUUCCCCUUGGUUUAAUAGUGCUACAUACAGCCUUAUACAUGCUAGCUAAUUAUUCUGCCAAGUGAGCAAAAUCCUACAUUUGCAUAUAUAGCUUGGAGUGGAAUUGCUAGGUCAUAGAGUAGCAGUACUUACCUUUCUGAAGGGCCACUAAAUAUUUUGGAAAGAGACCUCAACAUUUCAGCAGCAGUACCUGAGUGUUUUCAUUCUUCCCAGGUAGACAGUAUGUAUUUUUGCUUUCUCUAAGAUUAGCAAUCUUUGUGAAUGUGUUAGGUUGUUAUUUAGAUUUGCACUUCUAAAUAGUGAUGCUGGACAUCGUUCUCCAUGCCCUUCUUGAUCAUUGGGAUGGUUUAUGUCUGUUUAGGUUCAUUGCUGAAUUUUUACUGUGGUUAUUGGUUUUUAGUUGCUAAGUUGUAGUUCUUUCUACUCUAAGUAUUAACCAUUGCAAGUGGGAUUUUCCCAUGCCUCCUCCCACUCUGUGCCUCCUUUCAUGUGGAUGAUGGAGUUUGCAACACAAGGACUUUUCACUUUGAUGCUUAGUCUGCCUGCCUUUUCUUCCUUUGUUUGUACCUUUUGAUAUUAUAUCCAAGAAAUAGUUG